rnacentral:lncRNA from 10 species
AUUCUUUCAAUUCUAAAGAUGGAGACUGGCGAACGGCGAUGGGGUCUGCGGUGGGCGGUGUUUCGUCGCGACAGACUCUAGGAAAUUUCACGAUAGAACUAGCUUUAGGCGCUUGAGCCUUGCCGUCUUUUUGGGGUGUGGCCUGUCUCCGUCUGCCAAAGGCUUUGAGCUUCCUGGUGUUCAUCGUACCUCCGCUUGGUCCUGUCGUGACUAAACCACGACAGCAGGAAAAAAAAAAAAGCAGCUAGCCAAGUUGCUGAGGAAUUACGGUGUGCAGAGCCCUCGCAGCUCCUUCUCUUGGGAACUCCUGGUCUGGUUAGGUUCUCAGCGAGGAAACAGCCUCCCACCCCGCCCGAUUCCACCUAAUUAACUCAAGGGCCAGCUCCUUUUGCUGGCCUCCCUGCUUCCACGGAGCAGUUAGGCCCGCCUAAACUCAGCGAGCGUUUCUGGAGCACCUUGAGGAUAGGGACCAAGUAACAGAGUCCGGGUGUUAAGGUUAUGAUAGUAGUUAACGUUUUUGGAAAGAGACUGUGUCAGGCUCUGUGCUAAGAACUUUACAUGAAGUAUUUAUUCCUCAUGACUGUGAGUCCAUUGCAUUAUUUGCUGUCUGAAAUGCCACCCUUCAAGGGCUUUGAGGAGAUAUGAAAAACAUGGUAGUAUAUACCAGCCCAAGGAAGAUAAAAGUAAGACCCGAGAAAAUACUUUUCAACAAGACCAAAAUUUAGGCCAUGGAGGGGGACUUUCAAUCUGGAAUGAUCGAGCUUUAAGGAAGACAAGUACAUGAGGUCAGUACUGUAGUGGACAUGACCUGUGCCCAAUGCAGGCUCUACCUGUUUGUUCCCUUUCUGAAGCUAUGGAUUAUAUAGUUAAUCUUUAAAUGACCCCCAAUUUGCAGGUGAGGAAGAACUGAGGCACAGCAGUAAAGUAACUUGUAUGACAUCAUAAAAUUAUUAAGUGGCAGGCACAAUAUUUUCCUCAAUUUUUAAAAAAAUUUAUGGAGACAGAUGGGGUUUUGUCAUCAUUUAGCCCAGGCUGAUCUCGACUUCCUGAAGUCAAGCAGUGUGCCUGCCUCAGCCUCCCCAAGUGCUGGAUUACGAGUGCUGGGAUUACAGGCGUGAGCCCUCACAUCCAGCCAAAUUUUUUUUUUUUUUUUUUUUUUGAGACGGAGUCUCUCUCUCUCUCUCACCCAGGCUGGAGUGGAGUGGAGUGAUCUCAGCUCACUGCAAACUCCACCUUCCAAGUUCAAGCGAUUCUCAUGCCUCAGCCUCCUGAGUAGCUGGGAUUAUAGGCCCCCGCCACCACACCCAUCUAAUUUUUUGUAUAUUUUUUUAUUUUUUUGAGACGGAGUAUCACUCUGUCACCCAGGCUGGAGUGCAAUGGCGUAGUCUCAGCAUAGUCUUGGCUCACUGCAACCUCUGCCUCCUGGGUUCAAGCGAUUCUCCUGCCUCAGCACCCCAAGUAACUGGGAUUACAGGCACGUGCCACCACACUUGGCUAAUCUUUGUAUUUUUAGUAGAGUUGAGGUUUCACUAUGUUGGCCAGGCUGGUCUUGAACUCCUGACCUCAUGAUCCGCCUCCCUUGGCCUCCCCUGGGAUUACAGGCGUGAGCCACCGUGCCCAGCCGUAAUUUUUUGUAUUUUGAAUAGAGAUGGGGUUUCACCAUGUUGGCCAGGCUGGUCUCGAACUCCUGGCCUCAAGUAAUCCACCCUCCUCGGCCUCCCAAAGUGCUGAUACUACAGGAGUGAGCCACUGCACCUGGCCUCAGGCGACCUUUUUUUUUUUUUUUUGAGACGGAGUCUCACUGUCACCCAAGUUGGAGUGCAAUGGUGCAAUCUCGGCUCACUGCAACCUCUGCCUCUGGGGUUCAAGCGAUUCUCCUGCCUCAGCCUCCCAAUUAGCUGGGACUACAGGCGGGUGCCACCACGCCCAGCUAAUUUUUGUGUGUGUGUGUGUGUGUGUGUGUGUGUGUGUGUGUGUGUGUGUGUGUGUUUAGGAGAGACGGGGUUUCACUGUGUCAGCCAGGUUGGUCUCGAUCUCCUGACCUCGUGAUCUGCCCACCUCGGCCUCCCAAAGUGCUGGGAUUACAGGCGUGAGCCACCGCGCCCAGCCCAAAUUUUUUAUACUUGAGCCUAUACACUCCAAAGCCUGGGAAGAGAAAAUGGGCCAGAUAACUUGGGCAUAUCCUUCCUCUCAUACAGCUCCCUAGGCCAUAGGACACACAGAUGUGUCAGAUAUCAUGUUGAAUACUUUGCUAUUAAAAUUCCCAGAUUUUUGUUUUUUUUUUUUCUAAGACAGGGUCUCGCUCUGUCACCCAGGCUAGAGUGCAGUGGCAUGAUCUUGGCUCAUGGCAACCUCCACUUCCUGGGUUCAAGCAAGCCUCAGCCUCCCGAGUAGCUGGGAUUACAGGCAUAAGCCACCAUGCCCGGCUAAUUUUUGUAUUUUUAGUAGAGAUGGGGUUUCGCCAUGUUGGCCAGGCUGAUCUCAAAUUCCUGGCCUGAAGUGAUCUGCCCGCCUUGGCCCCCAAAGUGUUGGGAUUACAGGUGUUAACCACUGUGCCC